rnacentral:tRNA from 1 species
AAGGCUUUAAGUUAAAACAAACUAAUAACCUUCAAAGCUAUAAAUAAAGAGUAUCUCUUUAGGCCUUA